GACGAACGCUGGCGGCGUGCUUAACACAUGCAAGUCGAACGGAAAGGCCCUGCUUUUGUGGGGUGCUCGAGUGGCGAACGGGUGAGUAACACGUGAGUAACCUGCCCUUGACUUUGGGAUAACUUCAGGAAACUGGGGCUAAUACCGGAUAGGAGCUCCUGCUGCAUGGUGGGGGUUGGAAAGUUUCGGCGGUUGGGGAUGGACUGGCGGCUUAUCAGCUUGUUGGUGGGGUAGUGGCUUACCAAGGCUUUGACGGGUAGCCGGCCUGGGAGGGUAACAGGCCCCACUACGACUGAGAUACGGCACAGACUCCUACGGGAGGGAGCAGUGGAGAAUAUUGCACUAUGGGCGGAAGCCUGAUGCAGCAACGCCGCGUGCGGGAUGACGGGCUUCGGGUUGUAAUCCGCUUUCGCCUGUGACGAAGCGUGAGUGACGGUAAUGGGUAAAGAAGCACCGGCUAACUACGUG
rnacentral:rRNA from 1 species